GAUGAAGAACGUAGCGAAAUGCGAUAAGUAGUGUGAAUUGCAGAAUUCAGUGAAUCAUCGAAUCUUUGAACGCACAUUGCGCCCCUUGGUAUUCCAUGGGGCAUGCCUGUUCGAGCGUCAUUUGUACCUUCAAGCUCUGCUUGGUGUUGGGUGUUUGUCUCGCCUCUGCGUGUAGACUCGCCUUAAAACAAUUGGCAGCCGGCGUAUUGAUUUCGGAGUGCAGUACAUCUCGCGCUUUGCACUCAUAACGACGACGUCCAAAAGUACAUUUUUACACUCUUGACCUCGGAUCAGGUAGGGAUACCCGCUGAACUUAAGCAUAUCAAUAAGCGAGGA
rnacentral:misc_RNA from 1 species